CUAAGUGUCCAUCGACAGAUGAAUGGUUAAAGAAGAUGUGGCACAUAUAUGCAAUGGACUAUUACUCAGCCAUAAAAAGAAACGAAAUUGAGCUAUUUGUAGCGAGGUGGAUGGACCUAGAGCCUGUCAUACAGAGUGAAAAUGUUUUCAAAUAUUUAUAUCACCGAUAAAAAAUAUAUCUUAUUAGAAGUGAAAAGAGAUCCAGUAAAAAACUGGUGAUAUCUAGAAGAAUAAAAUCAUCAUUGAGGACUUCCCUAGUAGCGCAGUGGUUAAGAAUCCGCCUGCCAGUGCAGGCGACACAGGUUCGAGCCCUGGUCCGGGAAGAUCCCACAUGCUGCGGAGCAACUAAGCCCGUGCGCCACAACUACUGAGCCUGUGCCCUAGAGCCCGUGAGCCACAACUACUAAACCGGCACGCCACAACUAUUGAGCCUGCUCUCUAGAGCCCAUGAGCCACAACUACUGAACCCACGUGCCACAACUACUGAAGCCUACAUGCCUAGAGCCCAUGCUCUGCAACAAGAGAAGCCACCACAAUGAGAAGCCCCUGCACCACAACUACAGAAAGCCUGCAAGCAGCAAUGAAGACCCAAGGCAGCCAAAAAUAAAAAUAAAUGAAGAAAAAAAACCUGUUUAAAAAAAAUCGUCAUUGAGAAUAGAAUCGUCAUCUCUGUUUUGUUGUUGUCAGAUUAGUAAAAAGAUUUUAAGAUGAGAUGCAUACGGUGGAGACUAAUACGUAGCUACAGAAGACUUGCGCUUUGGCUUCCCUCUACCCCUAAAACAGAAAUCAUGUCCAAGGAUCUAUCCAUGGAAAAGUGGGACCCAGAAUGACUGCAUACUCAUGACAGUUAACCGAGCUGCCCUGGAGUCGCCCAGUUGCCCAGGUAUCUAUCUAACUAUCUAUCUAUCUAUCUAUCUAUCGUCGCCCAGCUGCCCAGGUGUCCCGGAAAAAGACCUGGGCCGGCGGGACCUGACGGGCGUGGCGCAGGUCUUUGGGUGGCCAGUGGGGCAGGGCUCCCAGUCCCACCCUAGGACACACGGGCCCCCGCCUGCAAGGCGCAGCCCCCGCCGCAGGCCCCGCCGGACGUCCCCCCGCCGGCUGAGGAGGGGGCCGAGGGGCAGCCAGCAGACGCGAUGUGAGAAGCGCGAGGCAGGCUGCGCAGCCCGAGGGCAGAGCGGCGGCCGCCGUGCAGGUGCGGGAGCGCGAAGCCGCGGACGAGGCCGGCCCCGGGGAGCUCGCAUCCCGCAGCCUGCUUCCCGGGCGCGGACCGGCUGCAGCAGCGGGGCCCGAGGUGACUGUGCAGCCUCGGCCCGUUUCGGAAACGUGCCGGUGGAGGGCGGGAGGCCGGGCUCGGGAGAGGGGCCUCCGGCUCUAGAGACCCUCGGCCGGCGCGCGCCGCGGGGCGGGAGCCCCUCUGGGGAGGCCCGGGGUCCGGGCCGCGGCCGGGAAGAGAGGCGGGGGCCGGCCGGGGGCGGGGUUGGGGGGAACGAGCUCCGCGGGGGCCGGUGGGGGGCCGGCCGGUGGGCGGUGGCUGCAGAGCCUCCUGGUGCCCGGGCCGGGGGCCGACCCGCGGUGAGCGGCUGGAUAUCAGGUGAGGACGAUGGACGGUACCAUCCCCCGACCUCGGCCUGCUUGUUGAGCCCUCGAUCCUCUCCCUCACGCCCCCUGCCCGGCGCUAGGUCAUUGCCCACCCAGUCCUGCCCCCGGAGCUGCGGCCCCCGGGCCCGCUGCGCUGGGAGCGACGUCAGGACGGUCUUCUGGGUCCGCCUUCCCGCAGGAGGGUAGAGAGUAGAAGGCCUUUCCGCGGCUCCAGGAUCCGUCCAGGCGGUCCGGGGGUUGGCCGUCCUCUGGAGCCGGGGCGGAGGUGUGGGCAGAGUUCUGCUGUUCAGCCCAGGGACGUAACGAAGCGCUAGAAACUUCGUCUCAUACCGAAAGACUUCGUUCAGGAUCAGCCUGCAGGCCCGAGUGAUACGUCUCGCCGCCCCUUUUCACAGGGAUCACCGGGAGGAAUGAUCCUCCUCCUGGGUGUCUCGCAGGCCUCCCACGCCACCCAUGGUGGACCACAGGACCCUUUGUCCCGUGCUGACACCUGUCCCUUCUUCCCUGCUUGGUGGCCACGGUGGAUCCCCUCUGCCCUGGAUGCUGUGAGUUUAAUGCUGGCCGGGGAAGCAGAGGACGUGAGGGAAAGAAGCAGGCUCCUGGGGUCAGCUUUCUUGCUCUGCAUCGUCCUGGUCUUAGUGGCCUGAACAGCACCCCAUCUGUGAGAGCUCGAGGCACCUACAGAGCCGCGGGCCCCAUCCCCUGGCCACUGGGUCGUGUGCUGCGUGGUCCUUGGCGCCAUCUUCCCUGUGGCCAAGCAUCUUCUCUGACCACAACAACAUGAAGCUGGAAGUCAGCCACAGAAAAAGAAAUGGGGAAAAAAUCAUUACAUGGAGACUAAACAACAUGCGACUAAAAAAACCCAGUGGAUCAACGAGGAAAUCAAAAAGAGAAUUAAAAAAUACCUUAACACAGUGAACCUGGUAAAAGGCCAUCGGUGCCUUUGGUGAAGGCUGGGAGGAAGAUUAACAGCAUGAAUUUCAGGCAGUGACCUGGGAACCUUGCUCUGAGGACCUGUUCUCUUGUUCAUUCAAGGGCCCUGAGCCUGUAAACUAGCUCAAGUGUGGGAACUGAUUGACGGGCCAUGACGCCCUGAUUUUCUGAUUCAGGAACACCAUCAACUAGCCUUUGGCAGUGGGCCCCUCCCACCUGGGAUCCAGUUAUUCCCUGGCAUUUCGGUUUCCCAAAGCAUGACUGCAGUUCCCACUGGAAGGUCCGGCCGACAGAGAAGAGUGACCACGGAGCUCUUCAAGGGUGACAGCUCUCCCCUCACAAACGUAUUUCUUCCAGUAUUAGUGAAAGUAGCCAGGACAUGGAAGCAACCUAAAUGUCCAUCAACAGAGGGAUGGGUAAAGAAGAUGUGGCACAUCUAUACAGUGGAAUAUUACUCAGCCAUGAAAAAGAACGAAACUAUGCCAUUUGCAGCAGCAUGGAUGGACCUAGAGAUUGUCAUACAGAGUGAAUUUCCUUCCAGACUCAACUGGAGGUCAGAAGGCACAGGAGCCUGUGUGGUGUGGUCCAUGCACGUGCACCUUCGCAGAUCAGAGGGCAAGAUGGAAGAAAGUGGAGAAUGGGUGUGGGGAGACAAAUACACCUCACACAGAACAACUAGGAUGAAGAAAACAAAAAUCCUCGGACGAUAUCUACAACCAAAUUAGAUGGUACAGCAACCCCAAGAUCUCCAAAACACGAGCAGACAGCAGCGAGCCAACUAACGCUGCAAGAGGCAAAUGGUAUCAGCAUGUGUGCCAGAGGGAGCAAGAGGAAGAAACAGCCCCAGAGAAAAGCAAAAUCCCCCAAAGACCAGUCGGUAUUCCCAGGAAGGCCUGUGAGCCAACUUGAGAGCAGAAUCUGAAACACCAGCGUUUUGUACAACGCGUUGUCAGUAAGAUACAAAGGUGCUGAAAGAGACUGCCCCACCAAACUCUCAAAACUAACCAGCCUAGUUUCUCUUCCUAGGAGUGUUAAAGAUUUAAGCAGCUCAGGAUCUAAGGAGGAAAAUGAAAAAGAGAGUCCAGAUAAAACAGGGUGGAUUGCGAGGCAGUCCUUUUAGUCUCAGGUCAGCGGCCUUUUAUUAUUUAACUUUUCAUAGAGGCAACAGUAGAUGGCGCCAUAGAGCUGUAAAGUCAGGAAAACAAAUAACACCUCCCACCUUAAAGUUUGGGAAACUACUAUAAUGUAAAAAUAAAUAACUGAAACAGAUCCAUGCUGAAUCUUACAUAAGAUUAAUAUUUUUUAAAAAUAGAGAGUAAGAAACCAGAUAAGUUCCCUAAAGAAAAUAAAAGGAAGACAUGCUUACAAAACAGACAGAAACAAUGGCCUAGUGUUUCAAAACUAGUUAAAAGACAUUAAAAAUUAUAAAGAAUUGAAAAAACAAUGUAAAUAAGAACCAGAGCAAAUCAGGGAUGAAGUAACAUAAUUCAGAAAAGAAACAUUUCAGGACUUUCUCUCGUGGUGCAGUGGUUAAGAAUCUGCCUGCCAAUGCAGGGGAUACAGGUUUGAGCCCUGGUCCGGGAAGAUCCCACAUGCCAUGGAGCAGCUAUAUAUAUAUAGUUCAAGAAAAUUUUGUACCAAAAUUUAAAAAUUGAAAGGACAACACUCUGCAUCUGGGAAAACUGACCCUGAAUGACAUACAUGGAAACAUAUUUUUUAAAUUGUUAGACUUUUUAAAAAAGAAAUGAAAAAGGAAAUAUUCUCUGGGUUCCAAAGUACAAGUAAUGAAAGAAAACUGAUUGUCACCAGAGAUUCUUUUUUUUUUUAAAUUUAUUUAUUUUUGGCUGCAUUGGGUCUUCGUUGCUGUGCGCGGGCUUUCUCUAGUUGAGGCGAGUGGGGGCUACUCUUCGUAGCGGUGCACGGGCUUCUCAUUGUGGUGGCUUCUCUUGUUGCAGAGCACGGUCUCUAGGCACGCGAGCUUCAGUAGUUGUGGCAUGUGGGCUCAGUAGCUGUGGCUCACAGGCUCUAGAUCUCAGGCUCAGUAGUUGUGGUGCACGGGCUUAGUUGCUCCGCGGCAUGUGGGAUCUUCCCGGACCAGGGCUUGAACCCGUGUCCCCUGCAUUGGCAGGCAGAUUCUUAACCACUGCGCACCAGGGAAACCCCAAACAUGUUUUUGAAAACUACUGUCAGUAAUUAUGUUGGUGUUAGUGUUGUUAUUGUUAUUCUAAGUCUGUUUUAUGCAUAUUAUGGGCUACAGCAUAAGAGGAGUUUCUAAUUAUAUCACUCCUAAUGUCCUUGAGAAUGAAUAUUUUCAGUGUGAAAAAAGAAGGCACAGAUCCACAAUAGAAUAGGUUAAGUGAACACCUUUAGUCCUAAAUUUGAAUUGACAGUAUUGGUAUGAACUCAAGAAGUGUUUCCUCUUUGCAGGGGAGGGAGUAUAGAUGGAGACAGAUUUCCCAGCUUUGUCUAUUGAAGCGCAAGGACUGGAUGACUGAUUCCAGGUCUUGGGUGGGAAAUGUACACCGUGAGCCUGGAGUGUCUUGUCACCUGAGGUAGUGAGGACCAUAGUCGUGUUAUGUUUAAAGUACUUGAAAGCUAAAUUGAAGAGGCUCCCACUUGACAAAGAUAAGGCAAUCUGAGCACUAAAUAAAAUAAUUUCCAUAGACUGAAACACAUCAGAUAUGUUUAAAACCAUGAGCCCUUUAUGAUAUUUCUUGUAAAAAAAAUUGGUCACCUUUGAUAGAUAUGAGGGCCUAUUAGUUGUUGAAUUGUAAGAGUUCGUCAUAUUUUCUGGAUACUAGACCUUAUUAGAUAUAUGAUUUGCAAAUAUUUUCUUGCAUUCUAUAGGUUGUCUUUUCACUUUCUUGACAAUUGCCUUUGAUACACAAGUUUUUAAAAUUUUUUUUGUGUGUGUGGUACGCGGGCCUCUCACUGCUGUGGCCUCUCCCUUUGCAGAGCACAGGCUCCGGACGCGCAGGCUCAGCAGCCAUGGCUCAUGGGCCCAGCCGCUCCACGGCAUGUGGGAUCUUCCCGGACCGGGGCACGAACCUGUGUCCCCUGCAUUGGCAGGCGGACUCUCAACCACUGCGCCACCAGGGAAGCCCAAGUUUUUUUUAAUUUUGAUGAGGUUCAAGUUAUUUAAUCUUUCAUUGCUCAGGUUUUGGUCAUGAAGAUCUACCAAGGUCAUGAAGAUUUACCCUAUGUUUUCUACUGAAAGUUUUAUAGUUUUAGCUCUUUUAUUUAGGUCAUUAAUCCAUUUUGAGUUAAUGUGUUUUUUGAGUUAAUUUUUGUAUAUAAACCACUUGUAAAAAUGUACACAUUUCAUUGUUUCCCAUAUAGACAUCCACUAGUCCAAGUAUCACUUGUUGAAGAAACUAUUCUUUUCCCAAAUUGCCAGAGAAAUUAGCAAGAAAAAGCAAAAAACAAGGCAUGGAUGUACCUUGAGGACAUUAUGCUAGGUGAAGUAAGCCAGUUACAAAAAGUCAAAUACUGUAUAAUUCCACUUAUAUGUCAAAAAUCAUAAAGACAGAAAGUAAAUGGUGGUUACCAGGAGCUGGGGGAGGGGAGAAUGGACAGAUGGUAUUUAAUGGGGGGCAGAGUUUUAGUUUUACAAGGUGAAAUACGGGGCUGGAUGGUGGUGGUUUCAUAACAAUAUAAAUGUACUUAAUACCAUUGAACUGUACACUUAAAAAUGGUAAAUUAUGGGAAUUCCCUGGCUGUCAAGUGGUUAGGACUCCACACUUUCACUGCUGAGGGCGAGGCCAAAAAAAUAAAAAGCUAAAUUUUAUGUCAUGUGAAUUUUACCACAUAAAAAAUUUUUUUAAGAAAGUUGUUUUUUUUGCGGUACGCGUGCCUCCCACUGUUGUGGUCUCUCCCGUUGCAGAGCACAGGCUCCGGACGCGCAGGCUCAGCGGCCAUGGCUCACGGGCCCAGCCGCUCCACGGCAUGUGGGAUCUUCUCGGACCGGGGCACGAACCCGUGUGCCCUGCAUUGGCAGGCGGACUCCCAACCACUGCGCCACCAGGGAAGCCCCUUAAGAAAGUUUUAUGUGUCUGUUAAGAGAUCCGAAAGGAAAAAUUAGGGAUAAGUAGGGUGAGGCAAUAUUUUUUUAAAUAGUUGAGAAUUUUCCAGUAUUAAAGAAAGAUAUGAAUUUCCAGAAUGAAAAAGCAUACUUAGUUCUGCACAAGAUAAUUAAAAGAAGUCCUCACAGCAAAAAUCAUAGUAAAGUGACAGAAUAUCUAAGACACAAAAAUUUCCAAAAGAGAAAUUAAAGUGUUUAUACAAAAAAGUCAAAUUAUAAUAAUUAUAAACUUCUCAUUAGGUACAAUACAUAUCGGAAUAUGAUGCAAUAGUAUUUUUAAUGUGCUGAGGAAAGAUAAUGGUCGACUUAGACCUCUAUAUCUACUUAAAUGACGCCUCAAGAGUGAGAGCAGGGGCUUCCCUGGUGGCG